rnacentral:rRNA from 1 species
UUUCACUGAAACAAGGGAAAACAUUGGCAGCAGUAAAGAAUUUUAUGCAAUAUACGAAAGUAAGACAUAGGUAGGACAUUUUAACCUGUCAAAUUAAGUGCCAGCAGACGCGGUGAAACUUAAGGGUUUGUUUUUUAGAAAAAGCAGAAAGCGUGUAAAGGUAAAAUGUUUAAAAUAAAUAGAAUUUUUUUAGUAAUAGUGAAAUGUUAAAAUGAGAAAAAGAAUUUUUUAUGUGAAAACAAUUUAUUUUUUUUCUUGAACACGAAGGUUCUGGGAGCAAACAGGAUUAGAGACCCUGGUAGUCGAUACAGUAAAAGAAAGUCGCUUGAGUAGUACGAUCGCAAGAUUAAAAUUCAAAAAACUUGGCUGUUUAUUGUUAUUUAGAGGAGCGUGUCGCUUAAUUCGAUAAUCCGCGAAUUACCUUACCAAGACUGGGUUAUCAGGUGUUGCAUGGCCGUCGUCAAUUUAUGUUUGAUACAAUAGAUUAAACCCUAGAAAGGUUGAAGUCAGGUAUUAUUGCCCUUAUGUUUUGGGGUUAGAUGCGCUACAUUUUUUUUUUAAUAAAAAAAAAGAGUUCGGAUUGUCUUUUAAAGAGGGUGAUUAAGUUGAAUUUAAUAGUAAUUGAAAAGUAGAGCGUUUCAAUGAAUUUUAAGCAAUAUUAGUUCAAAUAGCCCGUCGCCUUUACUAAGGUAAACAAAGUAGAGUAAGUCGUAACA